rnacentral:rRNA from 1 species
GACGAACGCUGGCGGCGUGCUUAACACAUGCAAGUCGAACGGAAAGGCCUUUUCGGAGGUACUCGAGUGGCGAACGGGUGAGUAACACGUGGGUGAUCUGCCCUGCACUCUGGGAUAAGCCUGGGAAACUGGGUCUAAUACCGGAUAGGACUGCACUUUAGUGUGUGUGGUGGAAAGUUUUUUCGGUGUAGGAUGAGCCCGCGGCCUAUCAGCUUGUUGGUGGGGUAAUGGCCUACCAAGGCGGCGACGGGUAGCCGGACUGAGAGGUUGGUCGGCCACAUUGGGACUGAGAUACGGCCCAGACUCCUACGGGAGGCAGCAGUGGGGAAUAUUGCACAAUGGGCGCAAGCCUGAUGCAGCGACGCCGCGUGGGGGAUGACGGCCUUCGGGUUGUAAACUCCUUUCGCCAGGGACGAAGCGUUUUGUGACGGUACCUGGAGAAGAAGCACCGGCUAACUACGUGCCAGCAGCCGCGGUAAUACGUAGGGUGCAAGCGUUGUCCGGAAUUACUGGGCGUAAAGAGCUCGUAGGUGGUUUGUCACGUCGUCUGUGAAAUUCCACAGCUUAACUGUGGGCGUGCAGGCGAUACGGGCUGACUUGAGUACUGUAGGGGUAACUGGAAUUCCUGGUGUAGCGGUGAAAUGCGCAGAUAUCAGGAGGAACACCGAUGGCGAAGGCAGGUUACUGGGCAGUUACUGACGCUGAGGAGCGAAAGCAUGGGUAGCAAACAGGAUUAGAUACCCUGGUAGUCCACGCCGUAAACGAUGAGUGCUAAGUGUUGGGGGCUUUCCGGCCCUCGGUGCUGGAGCUAACGUAUUAAGCACUCCGCCUGGGGAUUACGACCGCAAGGUUGAAACUCAAAAGAAUUGACGGGGACCCGCACAAGCGGUGGAGCAUGUGGUUUAAUUCGAAGCAACGCGAAGAACCUUACCAGCUCUUGACAUCUUCUGAAAACUCUAGAGAUAGAGCGUUCCCUUCGGGGACAGAAUGACAGGUGGUGCAUGGUUGUCGUCAGCUCGUGUCGUGAGAUGUUGGGUUAAGUCCCGUAACGAGCGCAACCCUUGUUGUUAGUUGCCAGCAUUAAGUUGGGCACUUUAACGAGACUGCCGGUGAUAAACCGGAGGAAGGCGGGGAUGACGUCAAAUCAUCAUGCCCCUUAUGAGCUGGGCUACACACGUGCUACAAUGGAUGGUACAACGAGCAGCGAUCCCGCAAGGGCUAGCUAAUCUUUCAAAGCCAUUCUCAGUUCGGAUUGCACUCUGCAACUCGAGUGCAUGAAGUCGGAAUCGCUAGUAAUCGCGAAUCAGAAUGUCGCGGUGAAUCCGUUCCCGGGUCU